rnacentral:rRNA from 1 species
CACGUGGGUAAUUUACCUUUAAGUCCGGGACAACACUGCGAAAGCGGUGCUAAUACCGGAUAAUAUCUGAAAAGCCCCGGCUUUUCAGAUCAAAGGUGGCCUCUACAUGUAUGCUUCCACUUAAAGAAAAGCCCGCGUACCAUUAGCUUGUUGGUGAGGUAACGGCUCACCAAGGCUACGAUGGUUAGCUGGUCUGAGAGGAUGAUCAGCCACACUGGAACUGAGACACGGUCCAG